CUCGGAUCAGGUAGGAAUACCCGCUGAACUUA
rnacentral:rRNA from 1 species